AAAUGAUAGGCUGAAUCAAAUGGCUGGGUGUUAUUUCAUACCGAGCUCAGAAUAAAUAGUAAUAUACCUUGCCACACAGGCAAGUCAAAUAAUGCCACACAGGCAAUCACACAUCGGACUGCGCAAUCCAGAUGCAUGCAAAAUCGGAAGGUGUGUUUGGCACAAACAUCACCAAUCCGCAGAACAGAACAGAACAGAAAACUAGGGUCGACCCAUACGCCUCCCACAACAAAACACCAAAUGGCCAACUCCCACCGGAGCACAAAACGGAG
rnacentral:lncRNA from 1 species